rnacentral:lncRNA from 1 species
UUCAUUCUUCAAUCCUGUGCUCCAUUCAACCUUCAUUGAUAUGGAUUUUGAGAAUGAGAACCAGAGAGAGAAAGAGAGGAUUUGGGAGAAAGAGACCAUCUCUUAAUUCACCCUCAUCUUCUGUUCUGUUGAUUGCGGCGAGGUGUACCCCGCGGCGGCGUUGAUUACUUUGCGCAGAUUUGUGAUGUAAGGAGUCCGCGAAGCUAUUAAAACUUGACUUCUUCACCGAGUGCUAAACGGUGGUAAGCGCUUACAGUAAUCUCAUUAACGUAAACCCUAGAUAUUUGAUUAUGUUUUGUGAUUAAAAAUAAAAGAUGACUGUUUCGUUUUAUGUGUAAAUGCUUGGAUUAAUUUCAUUUUCAAUUUAUUAGAUUGUGACUAGGGUUGAGAUUAGUUGAAGUUUUGUUUUGUAAUCUCUCAUGGUUAUCAAAGCUAAACAAUUACAUUAGUAGAAUAUUAUACCUAUUUGUGGAGAAAACAGGCUGAUUACUUGUACAUAAGUGGAAGAAAGAAGUUCUUUAGGCUAUGGUCGAUCCAUUGAAGGUUUGAUAUAAAUAAAAUUAUGAUACUCAAAAUCCAAAAGUUAAUAAUAGUGUUUGUAUUUUUUUAACAGUUUUACUUUGAAAUUAUUGGAGAAAUUUUCUUUUAUACCUGGCAGCGCAUCAAUCACGGGAUAACUACAAGGACAUCGAAAGGCUGUAGGACUACGACGACCGGCUCAACGAUUCCAACAGCAAAUAUCAGGGUUGACAAUGCCGCCACGAUUCAGAAGAGGCAGAGGCAAGGCCCCAGUGACGGGCCAUGACCACGAGGCCGAACCUUCCCACCGGGCCGCCACGAUUCAAAUGUUGAACAUUAACAUUUACCAAAUCUAAUCAAAAGAACAUAUUCAUCCCUAUUCUCUCAAACCCUAAUACUCAAUCAUAGAAUACAGAUUCAAUAGUUUGUAUUUAUGUUUUGAUAAGGCAAAUUUGACAUUAGAUGUAUAUAUGAUAUAUGCAGAAUCUGGUGCUAAACCAGCAACAAAAAAUUAUCAAAACUACUUAAAGUUUGAAUAUGGGUGUGAGAGGGGUGGUUAGUUUGACCUUGAUGUAUUGUCGAAGUUAUAUCCCAACCGAACGUCAUGAUCAUUUUUCUCAUCAUAUAUUAGAGUUUUCGUUUGGUUUUUAGACUUGUGGUUUGCUAUAAAUUUCAAACAAUCCCAACCAAAAGAGUACAAACUAUUCGUCUAUGCCUUUAUUUUAUUUUAUUUAUUGGUGUCUUUGCUAUUGUUUGAAUUAGUCUUUUGGGUAGUGCAGGUUCAGGUGUUGAGUUUUAUUUGUUGCUAGCCAACGGAGCAAGCAGAUAACUACUUCUUGAUUAUUAAUGUUCUAAACGUAACCCGUUUUGCAGAUGACAAAACUACCCCACCAAAGAAAGGCAAGAAUCAUGGACUAGGCUCGAUGCUAUUGAUUCAAUAUGAUGAUUCACUUUUGGGGCUAGGCUCGAUGCCUUUUGGUAUAUCGUUGUUGUUGGUUGUGAUCAUUGUGUGGUUUUUGUUGCUACCACAUGGCUACCAGCAACAACCGAGUUGGUAAUGAGAUUUCACAUGGUACUGAGUUUCUGAGCCUGAUAAGAAUACUUGGAGAAGGCUUUGAUGAUUGGGUAGAAUUUAUGCAAGGAUGAAUUUUUAUUGUGUUGGCGGCCAAAAGAGAGGGUCAUUUGAAUGGCUUUACCUUCACUUGGAAACCAGGCAGAGGCCCUCCAGCUAUGAGCUAGAUUACAAAACGAGAAAUAAAAAUAAACACAUUACAAACUAGGCACAUCGAAGCGGGUUAGAACUCCAAGCCAUGAAGAUCCAAUAUUUGUGCUUAGCACGGUUCUUAAUCCAAUGGAGAUAAAGAGAAAGAUCUUGACAUGGAUAUUCUAUACAACCCCCUGGUGCAUAUGGAAGGAAAGAAACUGCGGAGUCUUCAGAAGAUCAUACACCACGGAUCAAAAGGUUUUGAAAGAUACUAUUUAUACGUACAUUUGAAAAAAUUAACUGCCCAUGAUUUUGUUUGUUACGGUAGCGAAUGAGUUGCAUGUUUUAUUUGUGAUUAUGUGACAGAAGGCUUCAUUUCAGUUGUUCAAUGUUUAUAAUUUGUUUAGCCAUAUAUUGCAGAACUUAUUAAUUUGAAUAACUUCAAAUAUUUGUGUAACAAUAAUUCUUUUUAAAUUUGUUAAAAAGAAUUCAUUU